rnacentral:rRNA from 1 species
UACGAAGGGGGCUAGCGUUGCUCGGAAUCACUGGGCGUAAAGGGUGCGUAGGCGGGUUUUUAAGUCAGGGGUGAAAUCCUGGAGCUCAACCCCAGAACUGCCUUCGAUACUGGAGAGCUUGAGUCCGGGAGAGGUGAGUGGAACUGCGAGUGUAGAGGUGAAAUUCGUAGAUAUUCGCAAGAACACCAGUGGCGAAGGCGGCUCACUGGCCCGGUACUGACGCUGAGGUGCGAAAGCGUGGGGAGCAAACAGG